CCUACGGGUCGCAGCAGUAGGGAAUCUUCGGCAAUGGACGAAAGUCUGACCGAGCAACGCCGCGUGAGUGAAGAAGGUUUUCAGAUCGUAAAACUCUGUUGUUAGAGAAGAACAAGUAGGAGAGUAACUGCUCUUACCUUGACGGUAUCUAACCAGAAAGCCACGGCUAACUACGUGCCAGCAGCCGCGGUAAUACGUAGGUGGCAAGCGUUGUCCGGAUUUAUUGGGCGUAAAGCGAGCGCAGGCGGUCUUUUAAGUCUGAUGUGAAAGCCCUCGGCUCAACCGAGGAAGGUCAUUGGAAACUGGAGGACUUGAGUGCAGAAGAGGAGAGUGGAAUUCCAUGUGUGGCGGUGAAAUGCGUAGAUAUAUGGAGGAACACCAGUGGCGAAGGCGGCCCCCUGGACGAAGACUGACGCUCAGGUGCGAAAGCGUGGGGAGCAAACAGGAUUAGAUACCCGCGUAGUC
rnacentral:rRNA from 1 species